UACGUAGGGUCCGAGCGUUGUCCGGAAUUACUGGGCGUAAAGAGCUCGUAGGUGGUUUGUCGCGUUGUUCGUGAAAACUCACAGCUUAACUGUGGGCGUGCGGGCGAUACGGGCAGACUUGAGUACUGCAGGGGAGACUGGAAUUCCUGGUGUAGUGGUGAAAUGCGUAGAGAUCCGGAGGAACACCAGUGGCGAAGGCGGCUCGCUGGGCUCUACCUGACGCUGAGGCGCGAAAGCGUGGGGAGCGAACCGG
rnacentral:rRNA from 1 species